AACGAACGCUGGCGGCGUGGAUAAGACAUGCAAGUCGAACGAUUAUCAUCGGGUAGCAAUAUUCGGUGGUGAGAGUGGCGCAAGGGUGCGUAACACGUGGGUAAUUUGCCGUGAAGUCUGGAAUAACUUGCUGAAAGGCGAGCUAAUACCGGAUGUGAUUGCCGGAGGGCAUCCUCUGGCACUUAAAGUCGGGGACCGCAAGGCCUGACGCUUCUCGAUAAGCCCGCGGCCUAUCAGCUAGUUGGUGAGGUAACGGCUUACCAAGGCUAAGACGGGUAGCUGGUCCGAGAGGACGACCAGCCACACUGGAACUGAGACACGGUCCAGACACCUACGGGUGGCAGCAGUCGAGAAUUUUUCUCAAUGGGGGAAACCCUGAAGGAGCGACGCCGCGUGGGGGAUGAAUGGCUUCGGCCCGUAAACCCCUGUCAUUUGCGAUCAAACCUUACGACCUAAUACGUCGUAAGCUGAUAGUAGCGGAAGAGGAAGGGACGGCUAACUCUGUGC
rnacentral:rRNA from 1 species